rnacentral:rRNA from 1 species
UACGUAGGGUGCGAGCGUUGUCCGGAAUUACUGGGCGUAAAGAGCUCGUAGGUGGUUUGUCGCGUUGUUCGUGAAAACUCAGGGCUUAACCCUGAGCCUGCUUCCGAUACGGGCAGACUAGAGGUAUGCAGGGGAGAACGGAAUUCCUGGUGUAGCGGUGGAAUGCGCAGAUAUCAGGAGGAACACCGGUGGCGAAGGCGGGUCUCUGGGCAGUAACUGACGCUGAGGAGCGAAAGCGUGGGGAGCGAACAGG